AUGAGAGGGGAGGAUGGGAGGGAGGAGUAACAAAAGUAAAAACAAAAACUAAAAACUGAAAUCUAUUUGAAAUUGUUUUCACUUUUGUUACUCCUCCCUCCCAUCCUUCCCUCCCAUCCUUCCCUCCC
rnacentral:miRNA from 1 species